rnacentral:rRNA from 1 species
CCAGGGUGGCUGCAGUGGGGAAUAUUGGACAAUGGGCGAAAGCCUGAUCCAGCCAUGCCGCGUGUGUGAAGAAGGCCUUCGGGUUGUAAAGCACUUUCAGUGGGGAAGAAAGCCUUGGGGCUAAUACCCUCGAGGAAGGACAUCACCCACAGAAGAAGCACCGGCUAACUCCGUGCCAGCAGCCGCGGUAAUACGGAGGGUGCGAGCGUUAAUCGGAAUUACUGGGCGCAAAGCGCGCGUAGGCGGUCUGAUAAGCCGGUUGUGAAAGCCCCGGGCUCAACCUGGGAACGGCAUCCGGAACUGUCAGGCUAGAGUGCAGGAGAGGAAGGUAGAAUUCCCGGUGUAGCGGUGAAAUGCGUAGAGAUCGGGAGGAAUACCAGUGGCGAAGGCGGCCUUCUGGACUGACACUGACGCUGAGGUGCGAAAGCGUGGGUAGCAAACAGGAUUAGAUACCCGGGUAGUC